rnacentral:lncRNA from 1 species
CCCAAAAAUCCCCUCCCCCCUCCCCAAUUUGGGGCUCCUCCCCCCCAGUUUGGUACUGGGAAGGGACUGGGAGGACCCCCCCCACUCAAAAAAUUUGGGGGGGGGGCAGCCAGAAUGCCCAAAUUUUAAAAAAAUGGGAAUUUUAGGGGGUUUUUCCCCAAUUUUGGGAUUUUUUUCCCCAAUUUUGGGGUUUUUUUCCCCAAUUUAAGGGGAUUUUUUCCCCAAUUUUGGGGUUGUUUUACCCAAUUUUGGAUUUUUUCCCCAAUUUUGGGGUUUUUUUUCCCCAAUUUUGGGGGAUUUCCCCAAUUGUAGGGGUUUUUUUCCCAAAUUUUGGGGGUUUUUUACCCAAUUUUGGGAGGUUUUUACCCAAUUUUGGGGGUUUUUUCCUCAAUUUUGGGGAUUUUUCCCCAAUUUUUGGGGUUUUUCCUCAAUUUUGGGGUGUUUUUCCUCAAUUUUGGGGUGUUUUUCCUCAAUUUUGGGGGAUUUUUCCUCAAUUUUGGGGGUCACAACUUUCUCACCCCCCCAAAAAUGUGAAUUUUGGGGUUUUUUCCCCCCAAUUUUUGGGGGUGUCACCACUUCCCCUCCCCCCAAAAAUGGGAAUUUAGGAUUUUUUCCCCAAUUUUUGUGGGGGGGGGGUCACCACUCAC